GUGAUCCUUUUUGGAAGUUUUCUUAUUUUUUAUUCUCAUUUCUACUAUUCGCUGCCCGGUGUUGUCGAUUACUCCUCGACCUUAAUAAAAGUUGCACUUACAGCCCCGAUGGGAAAGAGGGAGCGUGAAGACACCCAGAUGUCCAAGAAGAUGCCAACUUCCCCAUUUGACUACAGUAGUUCAGAUGAUGCUUCCAAUCAGGUUCCAUCAAAUAGCCAGGACUAUUUCAGCAACAGACCUUCAGAGACAACAAGUAACCCUUACAGGCUGUACCCCAACAGACCUCAACAGACAACAAGUAACCCUGACAGGCUGUACCCCAACAGACCUCAACAGACAACAAGUAACCCUUACAGGCUGUACCCCAACAGACCUCAACAGACAACAAGUAACCCUUACAGGCUGUACCCCAACAGACCUCAACAGACAACAAGUAACCCUGACAGGCUGUAUCCCAACAGACCUCCACAGACAACAAGUAACGAGUACAGCCAGUUCAACAAUCAGCAGGUCCAGAGCAGCAGUGCCUCCACAGAUGAUCCGAAUCAUGUCCGGCUCAUAAACCACCUUCAGUUCAACAGCAGACCCCAACAAACAACAAUAACAGGGCAAGAGGCGGAUGUGAUCCACCUGCAGCUGCUGUGCACAGCGAGCGGUUUGGAGAUUCAGGUAAACCAGUGGUUGGAGAGAGGUGGAAAACUGGAAGAAUCUGGAACUGGUUCUACAAAUAUUCACACAAAAGAUCAAACUCUGUAGUAGAGUUUUGCACUUGGGGAUUUCCUUGUUCGGCCAAGAAGAAGACUGCCAUGUUUGUGGUCUGCAACGGGAUUACAUUCAAGACAUCACUCAUGAUUUUGUCUACUCUUUUUGGACAUGAAUGGACCUCCCUUACUAAAUGCACAUGAUGCACUUUGAGUAAUAUGAUAUAGGUGCUUCUCUGUGUUAUUUAUCUAUGACCUGAGUAAUGCAGUAAUAUUCCCUGAUCAGUUUAAAGUACAAUAAAAUGGUCUCACGUUUAAGCUCUCUGUUUGAUUUGGUUUUACUUUGCACAUGAUACAAAUCACACAGAAAGUAAGUGAACACAAAACAAACGUGUGCCGAAUCAACUAAAUGACACAAUCUGAAAGAAAAAAAAGAUAAAAAACCUAUAAAGCAAAAUUAAACACUGACCAGUUUUAAGGCUUUUUAUUUUCUGUACAUACAACAUUUUACAAAAGCACGAAAUCCAGAUUUUUAAUCACGACUUAAAAACAUAAAGAGGAUAAAAAAUGACAUGCAUCAUCUGUACGUUGCUGUAUUUGACACUCUUCUCCAUGCAGUUAAUUAAAACGUUAAAAUAAAUACACUAUUUUCUAUUUUAUCAGCAUUAACAAAAUGAAUCAAUUAACAGUAAAUUUGCACGAUGGAGUUGAGCAGUCGAUUAAUGUUUGACUUUCUGUCACACUUCAUCGAGGUAAUGGCCAUUGAUUGGUGGAGAAACAUCAGCGCUGCCAUGAAUUAUAAAAACAAUCUAAUACAUAACAGAAGAACAGAACAGGGAUGUAAAAUGCAUAAGAAUUUACUUUUCUCUUUGCUUUUUCUGAGUAAUAAAAAUAUAUCUCUACCAUUUACUGUUUAGGAAGCAUCUAAAUAAGAAGAGAAGCAGUUAUUAAGAUAACAGGAUUUGAUCUUUAUCUAAUGCAGAUCACGUGACUUUUUUAAGACUACAGAGGAAAAUUAAAGAGAAGCGAGUCUAGUAUCGUUUAGUGCUUUUUAAAGCAUGUUUCAGUUUCUUAUGUAAAUAUGUAGUUUCAUUGAUUGAUCACAUCCUGUGUUUAUCA
ensembl:lncRNA